rnacentral:tRNA from 1 species
GGCAGUUUAGUUUAAUGGUAAAACACUUGAUGCGUAAUCACAGAGAUAUGAGUUUGAGUCUCAUGGCUGGCCA